AUUUAUUUUGCGAGAAUCAUUUUCUUUCUUUGUUCUGUAAUUAAUUCUACUUCAUUUAACUUUAGCCACGUAAUAAGUUAAUUGUGGCAUUGAAUAACAUCUGCCAAUUGUAAUUUGCCAAAAUACUAAGCAAUUAAACUGGUCGAUAACGCAGUUCCAGAACACAGACGAGGUAUUUAUUUCCGGAAACCACCAGUUCCCGAUUUCUGUAAAUCAACAGCCCGUUUAUCAUCGAGCCAUCGCGGAAAUAAGGAUGCAGAUCUGAUGAAGCGUGCCUUUUACGGGUUGGUGAGAGAUAUUCCAUCAACAACAGAAGCGAUUGACUUGCUGUACAAUAAUAUUGAAGAAAUGUCGGAUGAUGAUGAGCCAUCACCACUCCCACCGUUCGAUU